CCUGUAUCCUCAUUGUAUCUAGGACAUAAUUAAUUUGCUUUUGAUUUAACAGGCUCAUAGGGGAAAAGGACUUGCCUUGUCUCAGAUGAGACUUUGGGCUUGGACUUUUGAGUUAAUGCUGGAAUGAGUUACGCCUCUGGGGUACUGUUACGAAGGCAUGAUUGGUGUUGGAAAGGCAUAAUUGUGUUUUGAAAUGUGAGGACAUGAGAUUUGGAAGGGCCCAGGGGUGGUUUACCUCAUGCUGUUCUCAUGAUAAUGAGUGAGUCUCACAAGAUCUGAGGGAUUUAUAAAUGUAUGGCAUUUCCCCUGCUCGCACUCAUUCUCUCUCCUAACACCCUGUGAAGAGGUGCUUUCACCAUGAUUCAACUAUAGGAACUCAGCCUGGAUGCGGACAGCACCUAGGACAAACUGUGCCUAAUGGCACUCGGCUGACAGGGCCAGCAGGCUGGGCAUCUGCAUGGAAGAAAUGAGGACCCACGAACCUGCUGCACUCCCCAGUUCUGGGGCUUCUCCAGAAGGAACAGGCCAGGCACAGGCUGAAUCCUUUCAGAGGGGUAAUACCCUCACACUUCCACCUGCAGAGAAUCACACAGGCUGCAAAGGCGCUAGUCACCCAGGAUAGAGCUCCUCAAACAGAAGAUCAAGGUACAUGAAAAAGGACCCGGACAAUGGCCCCUGGACAGUGCCUGGCACCUAGAAACACAAGCAUUAUCUGAAGGAAUUAAUUGUUAUUUCCUUAACACCUCGUAACUGUACUUGGCAUAAAGCGGAAGCUCAGUGAAGGUUUCGGAAGUGUGGAUUUUGAAAAUAAUAAAUGUAUACAGGAAGAAAGAACCCAAAUGACACUCAAAAGUCAUUCAAGCAUCUCAUAUCUCUUCGUUUUACCACUUGAGUGGACACUAACUAGUAAUUUUCCUAAUCUUUAAAUCAAAAUACUGCUGUGACAACUGUCUGCUAAGUACUCUGAUAUACCUAAUAUUUUUUGUUUGUUUUGGACUAAGAAGCAUUAUCUCAGUAUUUUCAAACCCAACUUCUCAUGCACUGCUAAAUACAGUCACUAAGUGUUCUAUACCCCUGGAAUCAAGAUCAUCUGUCCUUGCUGUCUUAAGUUUUGCCUCUGGUGGAGGUGAGUGCACCUGCCACCAUCAUCAAAAGCUUAGACUGCCCCUUUUCUACUGGCUGUAAGAGAGGAGGGAGCAUUUUCUUCUCUCUGGGGGCACAUUUCACUCUCAAACGUGGGUUCUAGUUUGAAAGACAGCAACAUAUUUGCAGAUGGGCUGCAAUAUUAUUUGUUUCAGAAUAAAUAAGGAAAUCAAGUAGCUAACAUUCCUUUACUUCCCCAAAGAAAGAAAAAUGUUAAUUCAGUCUGAAUAAUAAACAGAAUCAGGUCUUGCUAAAUCAGCCAUUUAUCAAAUUGACUCUGUUGCACUUAUGCCCAAUUGAUCCACAUACAAUUAUCGUGACUGGCAUACGUUGCUAAAGUUUGGGGGCUGAUGGAGGAGAGAGGGAACAGAUAGUACUGCACACAUCAUUACCCAGCUGGGGCCUAUGAGCCAAGGGUGCAAUGAGGUGGCCAGCAGCCUCAGGAUAAACAUGGCUUAUUGUACUGGAGCACUGACAUUUUCAAAACUUUGGAGAGAACGAAUUCUAGACAAUUAAAUGUAAACUUAUCAAGAACUAUCCUUUUUAUAUAAAACAAUGUCAAGGAUUUUAAGAACUAGAAUGAACUUUUACAUGAAUUUAUGAGCUAAAAGAUAAAAUUGUAAAGGGAAAUCCCUUAGGCAAAAAGGCUUCUUAAGUUAUAUAAUCAGUCCCUGCACUGUCCCCACUGCCAUUAGGGAUUUCAGCAGAAAUAUUUAAGAAGUUCAACCACAAACAAGGCUGCCUUACUAUUUCCAGCACACCAAGCCCUAACACACACAUCCACCUCCCAGCUGUACUUUCUUUCCUUUCUUACAAAACCCCAACUGGUUCAUUCAUGACCCACUCAGGGAUACUCCCUUAAGGAAAUUUUCCCAGAAUUAACCCAAAUAAGGUUAACCCAAGUAACCCACUCCCCAAUACAAUGCAUGAGCAUCUGAGACUCACUCAUUCCACCAGCUUUCAAUUUCUGCUUCCCUACCAGGGUGCAAGAUUCUCCACUCUGGAGCUGACUUUCAUCUCUGCACUCAUAAUUCCUGCUACCUUCUGGGCUCAAUAACUAUCUGAAGAAUCCAUGAACUUACUUUUAAUCUUGGAUGGUUGUGCUGAAAUUGAUGAGAGAAUAGUGGCCAAGAAAGUCACAUGGGCAAGAAGAGAUGAAAGCAGAGGGUUAGGAGUGAAGGGGGGAGUGACAAGACAUGAGGCUGGAGAAAUAAGCAAAGGCCAGACCAAAGUAAAGAAGAUGAAUUUAGAAUGAGUGCAAUGAGAAGCCUUCAGAAUUUGCAUAGAGGCACUCAUAAAUUUGCAAGUUAUUGCAAUUUCC
rnacentral:lncRNA from 10 species